CUAAUACUACCUCCGUCCGAAAAUACUUGUCAUUAAAAUGGACAAAAAGGAAUGUAUCUAAAACUAAAAUACGUCUAGAUACAUUUCUUUUUGUUCAUUUUGAUGACAAGUAUUUCCGGACGGAGGGAGUACUUA
rfam:Triticum aestivum genome assembly, contig: Triticum_aestivum_CS42_TGACv1_scaffold_405459_5BL